rnacentral:rRNA from 1 species
UGCAGUCGAACGGCAGCACGGACUUCGGUCUGGUGGCGAGUGGCGAACGGGUGAGUAACAUAUCGGAACGUAUCCAAUAAUGGGGGAUAACUAAUCGAAAGGUUGGCUAAUACCGCAUACGCCCUGAGGGGGAAAGCUAGGGAUCUUCGGACCUGGCGUUAAUGGAGCGGCCGAUAUCUGAUUAGCUAGUUGGUGGGGUAAAGGCCCACCAAGGCGACGAUCAGUAGCUGGUCUGAGAGGACGACCAGCCACACUGGAACUGAGACACGGUCCAGACUCCUACGGGAGGCAGCAGUGGGGAAUUUUGGACAAUGGGCGCAAGCCUGAUCCAGCCAUUCCGCGUGAGUGAAGAAGGCCUUCGGGUUGUAAAGCUCUUUCGCAAGGGAAGAAAACUUAUCCUCUAACAUAGGAUGAGGUUGACGGUACCUUGAUAAGAAGCACCGGCUAACUACGUGCCAGCAGCCGCGGUAAUACGUAGGGUGCGAGCGUUAAUCGGAAUUACUGGGCGUAAAGCGUGCGCAGGCUAUUUUGUAAGUCAGAUGUGAAAUCCCCGAGCUCAACUUGGGAACUGCGUUUGAAACUACAAGACUAGAAUAGGUCAGAGGGGGGUAGAAUUCCACGUGUAGCAGUGAAAUGCGUAGAGAUGUGGAGGAAUAUCAAUGGCGAAGGCAGCCCCCUGGGAUCAUAUUGACGCUCAUGCACGAAAGCGUGGGGAGCAAACAGGAUUAGAUACCCUGGUAGUCCACGCCCUAAACGAUGUCUACUAGUUGUUGGUGGAGUAAAAUCCAUGAGUAACGCAGCUAACGCGUGAAGUAGACCGCCUGGGGAGUACGGUCGCAAGAUUAAAACUCAAAUGAAUUGACGGGGGCCCGCACAAGCGG